CUAUCUAUCUAUCUAUAUACAUAUAUUUAUAUGUGUGUGUGUGUGUGCAUGUAUACAUACUAUAUGAGUAAUGUGAUAUCUCACUUUUAAUGGAUAUGGUCACCCAACUUCAGGCCACGCCCACUUAAGCCUAUAUGGCCUCUCAGUUUGAAUCAUGGCCCGUAAUUAUAUUACCAUCUGCAUGUGGUCUUUAAGUUGUUACUAUUUUGUACAUUGCUACACUAUGUACAGAGGUUGUGUACAUUAUGUACUACAACGCACAUGUUUUAUGAAUCUGUUCAUUUUCAAGGUUAUCCUCGCAAAUGGGUUAUAUCAAAACCAUCCUCAGAAUGUUAUGGUCUCCAUCGAACACUGUCAAAGAGGCGAAAUGUUACAAUUAAACCCUUUCCACCCAUUUAUUUCUUGUAUUUUUUCAGUAUUCUCUCUUUCUCACUCUCUCAAUCUAUAUACAUAUCUAUUUGUCUAUCUCUUGAUGAAAAGAAGAGAAGUAGAUUUCUGAGAGGGAAUGAGUCUGAAAUAAAGAAGUUCCGAGAGAGAGAGAGAUACAGAGAGACCGGGAUAGAAAGAGAGAGAGACAUUCAACUCUGCAGAUAAACUACAUACACAAAUGUUAGAAGGGUACCAUUUGUAUGAUUGACCAGUAGGUGAGAAAUCUAUGCAUGAUUGAUUUUGCGUUGGGUAAAUCAAGCGCCUCAAAACCAUGACAGAAGUUGUGUCAAGUACAUCAGGUAAUCAAGAACAUCCUCUAAGGAGAUGGAAAACGUAUCUGUGUCUACUGAAGCUGAUCAUGUGUACCAGAUGGGAUGGGUCCUUCGAAUUCGAAGGAAGCCUUCAGGGAUGAGCGACCGUCAGUUGGAAUUCUUUACUACUCUCUAUGACGAAGGGGAAAGGACCGGUCAGAAAGCAAAUCCUGCGAAAGUUGCUCAAACCAUGAGAAACUUGCAAAAUCAAGAUGGUACAAGAAAGUUCACCCCCAGAACAGCUCACAAAGAAUCAGAUCAGUUUUUUUCAACCGCCUCACAGCAAGGAAAAGAAAGACAGGUCAAGUGACACCUCAUCCCAAGAAAGCCAGCACAACACCUAGAGAGAAGCAGGUUCAGCAGGCAUUAGGAGAUGAAGAGUUUAUCGAGGAAGAUGAAGAAAUGGACCUAGCAGCUGAUACAGAGGUAGCUGAGUACUUCCAAGAGAUAAGAGAUGAAAUAGAGGAAAUAACUCAUUCUCUCUCAAGCGGCUAAUGAACCAACUAACGAGGCAAUUAAAAAAAAUCUUUCGAUUUCUCCUAAGAUUGAUGACAAGGAGACGGAUAAUGUGAUAUAAAGGAGCUCAUGACAUUCAGAGGAUGAUUUUAAUUUUAUAACCCAUUUGGAAGUAUAACAUCCAAGGUGCAUUUCUACUAACAGAUUAAUAGAAUACAUGCUUAUUAUGUAAUACUAACUUGCAGACAUGUCCCGCAACAAUUUGCUGUAUACUUGUUUGGAGAGAUACCAAUUUCGUUUCAAGACGUAAGUUGACUAAUCGAGUCCAUCGUGAUAGGAAUGAGGAGCUGUAAUUUAUAAUUGAACAUAUGGCAUGGAUAUAGAAGGCUUGGAGGAUGUGGAAGUCAGCUCCUACCUUAAAGUUUGUCUCUGGAGGACAUCGAUUCUGGUCUGUUUUCUCAAAUAAAUGUUUGAAUUGA